GGGGGUCACCUAGAAGAAAGGCCAAACGCUGGAGAAAAGCGAAGGCAGUUCUGACCUCUUUCGGGGUGCCUCUCUUCCUGUGCCCUCGAGUCUGACAAGCGGAAAGACGUCUCCUGGCAAGCCAGUCUCAGCUUCCGUCGCCCCCCUUCCCGACCCCGCAAGGAAGCUGGAACCUCCAGAGAAAGCGCGUCCCCUGCUCAGAGCACCCAAAGGUCCUUUCUAGGCCAGCCUCCUCCCCCUCCCCCAGAGAACUCAGACCCCUUUAUCAACAUUCAUCCCGUUUUACAAGCGGGGGCAGUCGAUGACUUUUGGUGCCCAAAGAACUGAGGUCUGGAAUAAAAGCUGGGGUGUCUCCUCAGAGACUAGAGCAGCAAAUCACCCCUCCCAGAGGAGAGGCUUAGACUAAGACCUUGUUGUGUACAGAGCUGGCAUCGGUUCGCAAAGCUGCUGCCAUCCGCCAGGUUGGGCAAUGAAGGCAAAAGCAGUAACCAGCUUUCUACCCGCAGUCCUGACUCUGGAAGCCACAGUCCUGACUCUGGAAGUCACAGUGGGUGUUCAAGCCCAUCUGGAGAGCCGCCUGCCCUUCUAAGGCAAGUCAAAACUCAUCUCUACCCACCAAAGUCCAGGCCCAGAAGCAGGAACUCUAGGCAUGGCUGGGACUCCAGGUGCCUCCCCACCGUCCAUGCCUUUGAAGAGGUGCAACCAUCCCCAAGGCCAAAACUGCUCACAGGAAAACUGCUGCAGGGACCCCUUUCUGGUUCAACUUCUACCUCCCCUGGGGGGCUGCCUUUCCUUGGGCGGGGGCGGGACACCUUUAGACUCUCCAGACCAAGUGCUGCAGGUAGACGAGAAGGAAGCCGCACCUAUGGCUCCAAAGGAGAGACUUUCUCUUGAUGAUGCCAGGUCACAGCCAACAGGGAGCAGGUGGCCUGUGCCUUCCCGUGGAGACAGGGUGCCAAAACGGCGGGCCCAAGAGCCCACAUCUUAGGCUGGUUUUACUUCCUAGACACACACAGAAAUCCAACCCUAUCGCAUUUGAAAAACAAUUUAAAGCACAAAACAGCCAACUUACAUGUAUGUAUGUAUAAGGCGCGGAAUUUGGGGGCCCCCCCGCUGCGCCAAAGAGUUUUGAAUCCUUCUCUCCCCGCCCUUCCUCUGAUAAUGGGAAACUCUGGAAAUCUGGGCCUUUCCUGAGGGCGCAAAAGUUCCUUCAGCUUCCGGGGACUCACAGACUGUCCCCAGCCCCUCAAACCCCCACGCCUGGUCCUGUAUACCUGAGGGCAAGUGGGAAG